UAAAUUUCUUACAAAUAGUGAAUUAUUAGUGAAUUUAACAGAUUGACUAUCAUACUAAGGUCAGCAGAAUGACAGUAUAUAUUGUAAGACUAUGUUGUGCCCAAGGUAAGCGAUCGCGUGUGGAGGGGUGACCUGUUGAGCUUCAAUUUAUACUGUACCCAAGGCCAGCAAACAUGCAUAAAGCGAUACAUACAGUCUCCGACUAAACUGCACCGAAAAUUAGCUGAUGCAUGUAUGAAAAGACAAUAGGAUAUGAGAUUACUCAAGGCCAGUGGACGCUCGUGCAAAACAGCCCGUGUAGUAGCAUAGCGUGCAGAGUAUGACCCACCUCGACGCAUGGUUAGCAAGUACAUGAAGUAUAUAAGACUUUAUCGAACAUCGUCAUUCCUGAUGAGUAUUUUUUCUUAAGUAUUCAUUUCAACAAAUCGAUCGAAUAGAACAAAAGGCUUAUCAAUGCUAAGAGCACGAACAUUAUCCUACCGGAAAGGCAGAAUUCUUCAGAAAAAGGGAUAAUUGCUAUUAUUUAACGACAAGUACAGAGAAAGGUAAUAAAUCAUUGAUUAUUACUUAUCAAGUUUUUUAGAAUUGUUUGUAAAAACAACUCAAGGAAAUGCACCCUUUUGUAUAUAUUGAAUUCAUCGUUGUAUGUUAUGUUCUAUUACAUUUGAUUUACCCUUGGUCUUUGGAUUGUAAUAUGGAAUUACCUUUCUUAACAAAAUUUGGAAAACAUAUUAAUACAUGAAAGAUGUCUGGAUGAUCAGUGGGUGCUCCCAGUGGGAUUCAAGAACACGGCACAUGUAUUAUAAGAUAAAUUUUUUAGAAUGUUUUGUAACUACACGAAGAAAUAGAUCUUACAGCAUUUAUUGAGCUCAUCUGUGUCUGUUAAAUUCUCUUACAUUAAAUUUAUCCAUGGUCUUCGGAUUGGAAUAUGGAAUUUCUUUUCUUAACAAAAUUUGGAAAACUGAUUAAUAUAUUAAAAGCUAAAUUUAUCAGAAUAACCAGUAAAUGUUUCCAGAGAGUUUGAAGAACAUUUCAAUAUGGUAUAUGUAAGUAUUAGCAAAAGCUAGGAGAAAAUGUUAAAAGAGCUUGUUUAAAAAAUAAAUGUAAUUGUUGUCUUCUCUUCGAAAUAUUAUUAAAAUUUUUGUAUUAUCAAAUCAAAUAUAUACGAUUUAUUAAAAAAUGUAAUAUAUAUCUGUAGCCUCAAAUGUUUUUCUCGCAAGAAAUGCUGACUUGAAAGGUGAUGAUGUGCUAUUUAUCGUAUUAGAUGUUCAUAAUAUUUAUAUCAGAAAUUAGG